rnacentral:rRNA from 1 species
GGCCCAGACUCCUACGGGAGGCAGCAGUGGGGAAUAUUGCGCAAUGGGGGAAACCCUGACGCAGCAACGCCGCGUGAGUGAAGAAGGCCUUCGGGUUGUAAAGCUCUUUAAUCAGGGACGAAGAAUGACGGUACCUGGGGAAUAAGCUCCGGCUAACUACGUGCCAGCAGCCGCGGUAAUACGUAGGGAGCAAGCGUUAUCCGGAUUUACUGGGUGUAAAGGGCGUGUAGGCGGGAAAGCAAGUCAGAUGUGAAAGCCAUGGGCUCAACCUGUGGCCUGCAUUUGAAACUGUUUUUCUUGAGUACUGGAGAGGCAGGCGGAAUUCCUAGUGUAGCGGUGAAAUGCGUAGAUAUUAGGAGGAACACCAGUGGCGAAGGCGGUCUACUGGACAGCAACUGACGCUGAGGCGCGAAAGCGUGGGGAGCAAACAGGAUUAGAUACCCUAGUA